AAUUUUGGACAAUGGGGGCAACCCUGAUCCAGCCAUGCCGCGUGUCUGAAGAAGGCCUUCGGGUUGUAAAGGACUUUUGCCGGGGAGCAAAUCCUGCUGAAGAAUACUCAGUGGGGAUGAGAGUACCUGGAGAAUAAGCACCGGCUAACUACGGGCCAGCAGCCGCGGUAAUACGUAGGGUGCGAGCGUUAAUCGGAAUUACUGGGCGUAAAGAGUGCGCAGGCGGUCUUGUUAGUCUGAUGUGAAAGCCCCGGGCUUAACCUGGGAACUGCAUUGGAUACUGCAAGACUAGAGUACGUCAGAGGGGGGUAGAAUUCCACGUGUAGCAGUGAAAUGCGCAGAGAUGUGGAGGAAUACCGAUGGCGAAGGCAGCCCCCUGGGAUGAUACUGACGCUCAUGCACGAAAGCGUGGGGAGCAAACAG
rnacentral:rRNA from 1 species